rnacentral:misc_RNA from 1 species
ACACGCAGUAGCAACUUCGUAUGUGUUGCAAUUUAGAAUAUUUCCAGAGCUGGAAUAGCCCAGAUUGCUUACAACAACAAUACAGUCUCUCUCAAGCCCCUCUCUUAUUUGUCGGUCAUCUAUUCUUUUCACUUCACCAGUGUCUCCAAAAUCAAUACCUUCAAUGACUCCCCUUCUCUUCGCUGCAAGAAAGUUACCGCUUGAUACGCGUACCCCAAGUUCAUGCCAACGACUAUUAUCACCUUGUCGGCGAAGGCUCGGUAUAGGGGGGCCAGGAGAAAGUUUUGCUUCUAUCAUCAGACGAAUCCUCCCAGCUGCCUCUGUUGCUGCCGCUAGUGAA